rnacentral:rRNA from 1 species
AGUACGGCCGCAAGGCUAAAACUCAAAGGAAUUGACGGGGGCCCGCACAAGCGGCGGAGCAUGCGGAUUAAUUCGAUGCAACGCGAAGAACCUUACCAAGGCUUGACAUAUAGAGGAAAAGUGUAGAAAUACACUCCCCGCAAGGUCUCUAUACAGGUGGUGCAUGGUUGUCGUCAGCUCGUGUCGUGAGAUGUUGGGUUAAGUCCCGCAACGAGCGCAACCCUCGUCCUAUGUUGCCAGCACGUAAUGGUGGGAACUCAUGGGAUACUGCCGGGGUCAACUCGGAGGAAGGUGGGGAUGACGUCAAAUCAUCAUGCCCCUUAUGUCUUGGGCUUCACGCAUGCUACAAUGGCCGGUACAGAGGGCAGCAAUACCGCAAGGUGGAGCGAAUCCCAAAAAGCCGGUCUCAGUUCGGAUUGAGGUCUGCAACUCGACCUCAUGAAGUUGGAGUCGCUAGUAAUCGUGGAUCAGCAACGCCACGGUGAAUACGUUCCCGGGCCUUGUACACACCGCCCGUCAAGUCAUGAAAGUCGGUAACACCCGAAGCCGGUGGCCCAACCGCAAGGAGGGAGCUGUCGAAGGUGGGAUCGGUGAUUAGGACUAAGUCGUAACAAGGUAACCAAGGGCGAA